GACGAACGCUGGCGGCGUGCUUAACACAUGCAAGUCGAACGGAAAGGCCCUGCUUUUGUGGGGUGCUCGAGUGGCGAACGGGUGAGUAACAUGUGAGUAACCUGCCCUUGACUUUGGGAUAACUUCAGGAAACUGGGGCUAAUACCGGAUAGGAGCUCCUGCUGCAUGGUGGUGGUUGGAAAGUUUCGGCGGUUGGGGAUGGACUCGCGGCUUAUCAGCUUGUUGGUGGGGUAGUGGCUUACCAAGGCUUUGACGGGUAGCCGGCCUGAGAGGGUGACCGGCCACAUUGGGACUGAGAUACGGCCCAGACUCCUACGGGAGGCAGCAGUGGGGAAUAUUGCACAGUGGGCGGAAGCCUGAUGCAGCAACGCCGCGUGCGGGAUGACGGCCUUCGGGUUGUAAACCGCUUUCGCCUGUGACGAAGCGUGAGUGACGGUAAUGGGUAAAGAAGCACCGGCUAACUACGUG
rnacentral:rRNA from 1 species